GAUGAACGCUGGCGGCGUGCCUAAUACAUGCAAGUCGAACGAGACCUUCGGGUCUAGUGGCGAACGGGUGAGUAAUACGUAGGAACCUGCCCUGAAGUGGGGCAUAACUCCGGGAAACCGGAGCUAAUUCCCCAUAGUCUACCUCGGUAGUAAAGGAUUUCCGCUUCAGGAAGGGCCUCCGCCCGAUUAGCUAGUUGGUGAGGUAAUGGCUCACCAAGGCUAUGAUCGGUAGCUGGUCUGAGAGGAUGAUCAGCCACACUGGGACUGAGAUACGGCCCAGACUCCUACGGGAGGCAGCAGUAGGGAAUCCUCCACAAUGGGCGAAAGCCUGAUGGAGCAACGCCGCGUGCAGGAUGAAGGCUUUCGGGUCGUAAACUGCUUUUCUGAAGGAAGAUUAUGACGGUACUUCAGGAAUAAGGGUUGGCUAACUCCGUGCCAGCCGCCGCCGUAA
rnacentral:rRNA from 1 species